rnacentral:tRNA from 1 species
UGCCGAAACCCGGGAUCGAACCAGGGACCUUUAGAUAUUCAGUCUAACGCUCUCCUAACUGAGCUAUUAAGGC